rnacentral:rRNA from 1 species
CGCAGCCGCGGUAAUUCCAGCUCCAAUAGCGUAUAUUAAAGUUGUUGCAGUUAAAAAGCUCGUAGUUGAAUUUCGGGGUCUGUCCAUUGGUCGGGCUUCACGGUCCGUACUGGUGAGAUGGGUUCCUACCUUCUGAAUAACCAGCAUGCCAUUUAGUUGGUGCGUUGGGGAAGCAGAGCUAUUACCUUGAAAAAAUUAGAGUGCUUAAAGCAGGCUAGUGCUUGAAUAGAUUAGCAUGGAAUAAUAAAAUAGGACGGCAUGGUUCUAUUUUGUUGGUUUCUAGGAUCACCGUA